rnacentral:rRNA from 1 species
CAGCAUGGUCUUAGCUUGCUAAGACUGAUGGCGACCGGCGCACGGGUGCGUAACGCGUAUGCAACUUGCCUCACAGAGGGGGAUAACCCGUCGAAAGACGGACUAAUACCGCGUACACUCCACUUUGGGCAUCCAAAGUAGAGGAAAUGAAAUUCGCUGUGAGAUAGGCAUGCGUCCCAUUAGCUAGUUGGUGAGGUAACGGCUCACCAAGGCGACGAUGGGUAGGGGAACUGAGAGGUUGAACCCCCACACUGGUACUGAGACACGGACCAGACUCCUACGGGAGGCAGCAGUGAGGAAUAUUGGUCAAUGGGCGAGAGCCUGAACCAGCCAAGUCGCGUGGAGGAUGACUGUCUUAUGGAUUGUAAACUUCUUUUAUACGGGAAUAACAAGAGUCACGUGUGACUCCCUGCAUGUACCGUAUGAAUAAGCAUCGGCUAACUCCGUGCCAGCAGCCGCGGUAAUACGGAGGAUGCGAGCGUUAUCCGGAUUUAUUGGGUUUAAAGGGUGCGUAGGCGGCCUGUUAGGUCAGCGGUGAAAUCUAGGAGCUUAACUCCUAAAUUGCCAUUGAUACUGGCGGGCUUGAGUGUAGAUGAGGUAGGCGGAAUGCGUGGUGUAGCGGUGGAAUGCAUAGAUAUCACGCAGAACUCCGAUUGCGAAGGCAGCUUACUAAGGUACAACUGACGCUGAAGCACGAAAGCGUGGGUAUCAAACAGGAUUAGAUACCCUGGUAGUCCACGCAGUAAACGAUGAUAACUGGGCGUAUGCGAUAUACAGUAUGCUCCUAAGCG